GGCAACAUUNCACGUUNUCCGUGCCGCAGCUAACGCANUUAAGUGCCCCGCCUGGGGAGUACGGCCGCAAGGCUAAAACUCAAAGGAAUUGACGGGGGCCCGCACAAGCGGCGGAGCAUGUGGCUUAAUUNGACGCAACGCGAAGAACCUUACCAAGGCUUGACAUACACCGGAAANNNNCAGANAUGGNNNCCCCCUUGUGGUCGGUGUACAGGUGGUGCAUGGCNGUCGUCAGCUNGUGUCGUGAGAUGUUGGGUUAAGUCCCGCAACGAGCGCAACCCUUGUCCCGUGUUGCCAGCAACUNUUCGGAGGUUGGGGACUCACGGGAGACCGCCGGGGUCAACUCGGNGGAAGGUGGGGACGACGUCAAGUCAUCAUGCCCCUUAUGUCUUGGGCUGCACACGUGCUACAAUGGCCGGUACAAUGAGCUGCGAUACCGCAAGGUGGAGCGAAUCUCAAAAANCCGGUCUCAGUUCGGAUUGGGGUNUGCAACUCGACCCCAUGAAGUCGGAGUCGCUAGUAAUCGCAGAUCAGCAUUGNUGCGGUGAAUACGUUCCCGGGCCUUGUACACACCGCCCNNNNNNNNNNGAAAGUCGGAACANCCGAAGC
rnacentral:rRNA from 1 species